GAUUGUUCUGUUAGUGCUGCUACUGCUGGCCUCUGAUUACCAAACUUCUUAGUGGUCAGCCCUCCUACAAUGACACUAAUUACUCUAAUUGGGUCAUCAUCCUUCUUAGUGAUGGUGAUAUCUUUACUUCCGGAGGUUAAUCCCCUUCUUUGUGAUGGUCUGUCAUCCUGGCUAUCCCUUGUAAACCUUCUAAGUCGACCAUCCCUAAUUAGUCGCUCAAUAUCAUCUUUG
rnacentral:misc_RNA from 1 species